AAGCGGAGCCGCGAGGCCGGGCAAAUCCCAAAAAUAACGUCCCAGUUCGGAUUGCAGCCUGCAACUCGGCUGCAUGAAGCUGGAAUCGCUAGUAAUCGCGAAUCAGAAUGUCGCGGUGAAUACGUUCCCGGGUCUUGUACACACCGCCCGUCACACCAUGGGAGUUGGAAAUGCCCGAAGUCAGUGACCCAACCGAAAGGAGGGAGCUGCCGAAGGCAGGUCUGAUAACUGGGGUGAAGUCGUAACAAGGUAUC
rnacentral:rRNA from 1 species